AGCUAAUGUUAUAAAAAUUAAAUUUAAAGGAUUUGACAUCUGGUACUUGCUGUACCUCUGUGAGGACAAUGACUCUACUGAUGAAGCUAUCCCCUCACACUGUGGUGUGCAGUAUUACCUAAGGAUAAGAGAAGCACAAAGUGCAAAAGCAACGGUAAAGCUGAAUCAAACCCGGCGAACCAAGGACAAAGAAACUUCACACAAUAUACAGACAAGCAAACUUAAGGGUUUUUUUUUUGUUUUGAUUUGUUUUACUUUAAAUUAACUUAAUCCAGUGAUUACAUUUUUCUGAGCUGAGUUCUGAGCAACCUCCUAUGCUUUGAGUUUGAUUAACAACUUAAUUGUGGUUAACAAUUCAUUCAACAUGCAAAUUAAAGACUUUUAAAAAUAAAA